UACCAGCUAGCUCUCUUCAACUCUCACAUGGUCGCCCACUGAAGCUAAGCAGGGCUGCGCCUGGUCAGUACCUGAAUGGGAGACCACAUGGGAAAGCUAGGGUGGUGU
rnacentral:rRNA from 1 species